ensembl:snRNA U6 U6 spliceosomal RNA
UUGCUUCGGCAUUACAUACACUAAAAUUGGAAUGGUAUGGAGAAGACUAGCCUGGCCCCUGUGCAAGUAGGACACGCAAAUUUGUGAAGCCAUCACAUUUUUG